GUUAAUCACAUAUAAUCACUUUGAUGCCACAAAACUAUCAAAUCUCUCGUAUAAUAAUAUAAAAAGCAAUCGUCUAUAAUUACAUCACACUAUAUCACAGUUUAACUUUAUGCUUACACAUGAUAACUUAAACACUUAAUACUAUUUGCAAAACAAUCAAAAGUUUCAAAAGUUCCUUCCUUUCAUUCGGAUCAUCCAUAUUUAUGGAAAAAAGCUUACAAUUAAAUGCUAUAAAAUUAUUUUUUAAGAUUAAGAGUGUUACACCUUGCUGUUUGUUUUCUUGUAUUAUUUUGGAGUCGUUUAGUGAAAUUUCGAUUUGGGGCAGUUCGUUAGUCGUUCCAUGUAAAAAUGGGCGCGAAUGUCAAAAGACUGAAGAAGGGGUCGUGUAGACAUGGUCGCCUGGCAAUGGUGGGGCGCGGGGGCGGUGGGCGGCUAUUUGUGCACAGCACAAAUCAGCAGACCAAUACAAUUAAUUAUCAGAUUAAGGUGAGCCAUCCAUGCAGCUUGUUCUUGAACGUCGUUACUAAUAUACGCAAUAAUACACAUGAAGUUAUCGCCGACGAUCCGCCAUGUUUUGUCGCUGUUUGGCUUUGAACCUCGGAAGCUCUCGGUUACGGUUCAAUGAUUAAUUGUCAGCAUUUUUCUUAAAUUGACACCUGCAAUUAAGGUCAAUGGGUUUUUGUUGACCUACUGUGGAUGACUCCAACUUUUGGCUUGCCUAUAACGGUAGCACUGACGGCAGUGUGACGUCGGUCAAUAUUAAAACAAUCAGAUGGAUGUCGCAGCCAAACUGCAGUUGUCUCGAGGAGACAAACUGUGUGCGCGUGUUUGUCUAGAUUAAUAAAUAAUAUAAGAUUGAGGGGUUGCGCAAGAAGAUCGAAAGAUUGAUUGGCACCCUCGUAUUAAUGCAUUCUGUUCACAUCAUUGCCAUAGUUGGCAAGUGAGUCGGUGUCGAGAGCGCCUGCAUUACUGUCGAGCCGACAAAUUUUGAACGGCAGUCUGAAUGUUACCUGUUGAUUUGGUACUCUUGUUCCGCGACGUUUGUAAUUUUGUGUUAUCUCUUUUGGUAAAUCGAUUGCGUUGAUUUCGCGUAUACAUUGUUCUCAUUAUGGACAUUUACUGUAAUAUGUAUUUUUGUCACACGAUCCCAAAACAUUUAAUAACAUCCUUAGUAACUGACUUUCGUAAACCGAGUCUUGGUAAAAGCAUCUCGUCAAAUUAAUUUGAGGAACUAACUGCCAAAUAUAUCGGCAUCACCACCCUUGCCAAAUUUUCCCAAUGGAAAGGUAUUGUCGGUGCUCAGUAUUCAGUCGCCCGUGACAAACCCACGCGCGUUUUAGGUAUUUCCUAUAUGACCAUAAUGUCAAUCAAAGAUUAGUUUUAUUUCUAUUUGUGGACCGUCCUUGCAUUUAUUUAUAGCCACAUUAUUUAUGUUUGGUGUUGUUAACAUCGUUUUGUUAUCAAAUAUGUUAACAUCAUCAGUACAAUUUUUAACGUUACCAGUUUUAAUAUAAUUGGUAGCUGAAUGCACUGUAUUAAUGUUCAUCUCCUUAACUUUACUUAUUUUUAGUCAACUUGAUUGUGUUACUUUUGUGACACGUGUCCUAAUGUUCAAUAUACAUUUUAUCUUAAACAGGACAUCCUUUUUACUAGUCUUUAAAACUGUAUCUUUCUGUUGACCCAAUAUCUUCUAACAAUUCCGAUCUAUUUUUAGACAUUUUAAUGCACAUUCAUAUUGUCAUUACAUUGCCACAAUUAUAAUUAACGAUACACUUCAAAUGCAAUCAAUCUUUUCCGUUCUAUUUCAGGUGUGAACAAUGUUGCUACUAAUCAAUAUCGAGACGUAUAUCUUUUUAACAACAUACGACGUACAUAAUUCAGACGAUCUGGCAACUUUAGGCAGUUAAGGGGUGAGAAUAUUUCAAGAUCAGUGGACUUGGUCUUGGCCUAAUUACUACAGUCAUAUUUAUACAAAUAACAAUCAAUCAUAACGACGACGAGCGUACGUGCGUCCUGGCGCACGAUUGUGCUCACUUUUGCUUCAUUAAACCCGUCCGCACCAUCUGCCUUCGCGUUAUCACCAGUAACAGGAAUGACCUGCCAAGAGAAUGGAACCACGGGAGGUUCCUCUUUCUUUUCCGGUUCUGGAGUUUCUAUUGACGAUAUGCUGCUGAAUGAAAAUCCAAAUACGGACUACCUAACGGGUUACCGAGGUUCCAGCCCGAAAGCAGGAGUA